rnacentral:rRNA from 1 species
UACAGAGGUCUCAAGCGUUGUUCGGAUUCAUUGGGCGUAAAGGGUGCGUAGGUGGCGUCGUAAGUCAGGUGUGAAAUCUCGGGGCUCAACCCCGAAACCGCACUUGAUACUGCGAUGCUCGAGUACUGGAGAGGAGAUUGGAAUUUACGGUGUAGCAGUGAAAUGCGUAGACAUCGUAAGGAAGACCAGUGGCGAAGGCGAAUCUCUGGACAGUUACUGACACUGAGGCACGAAGGCCAGGGGAGCAAACGGG